rnacentral:rRNA from 1 species
GAUGAACGCUGGCGGCGUGCCUAAUACAUGCAAGUCGAGCGAAGCGGGGACGGGUGAGUAACACGUGGAUAACCUCCUAUAAGACUGGGAUAACUUCGGGAAACCUGAUCUAAACCGGAUCCUUAUAUAUGGAACCGCGCUGCAUUAGCUAGUUGGUACGGUAACGGCUUACCAAGGCAACGCUGCAUAGCCGACCUGCGAGGAUGAUCGGUCACACUGGAACGGAGACACGGUCCAGACUCCUACGGGAGGCAGCAGUAGGGAAUCUUCCGCAAUGGGCGAAAGCCUGACGGAGCAACGCCGCGUGAGUGAUGAAGGUCUUCGGAUCGUAAAACUCUGUUAUUAGGGAAGCGGUACCUACUCAGAAAGCCACGGCUAACUACGUGCCAGCAGCCGCGGUAAUUC